CAUCCUUCCAGUCCAGAUCCAGCCACGUGAUAUGAGCUGUUCCGUUGGGUUUCCGUUGUCCGGUAAUAGAAAAAUUAAAUGUCAGAAAAAAAUUCUAUCUCCAUCAAAUUGUCAGAUUGAAAUUUGCUAAUAAUCUGUCUAAAUAAUAGUCUGCUGACACCGCUGUUAUCGAUGCCGUAAGUCUGCGCGAUGAGAUGCCCCCGCUGUGAUGACAGCGCUCCGUGGCUACGGAGGAUUGCAUUUCUCCACAGCCUGCAAAGUCCUCAUAUGCGAUAUGAACGACAUUUAUCCAGAGUGGACCAAGCGCGCAAAAAUAGCCUGUGUGAUCCCUGUCUCUAGUGUUUUGUGUGAUUUGACCGGCAGUUGGUCUGCUUAUAGGUCGGAAUGAAGCGGCCACCGAUUAUUGACAGGCUGGGUACUUUAUUCUACCGGACUCGUUUGAUUCUUCACUCAACACACACAUGCUACCGCUAGUUCUCCUCGCUCGUCAACUCACUCGUUGACGUCACUCACCAACGCACGCGCACACACUACCAUUCUCGCGCACACACGUACGCUACUCAUAACACUAUAAUAAUAAUAAUAAUAAUACAAAUAAUACAUUUAAUUUAGAGGCGCCUUUCAAAACACCCAAGGUCACCUUACAGAGCAUAUAGUCAUCAUUCAAAACUAUGUAAAACAGACUAGGAAUAAAAGGAAAACAGAGGUUAAACAUGAAGAAUAAUAAUUAAUAACACUCAAAGACGCCUAAAGUGAAGGGGGGACCUCACUAACCACCACCACUAUGCCUUGUUAUUACGAAUCAGACGUUCAUGUUUUUUCUCAUUGAUUUGAAAGUUGGGCUAUUAAGCAUGUUGCAUUCUAUACAGCCUGAUUAUGUCUUUAUUUAAGCUACAUAGCCUAAUAGGAAGCGAUAACAGUAUAUUUGACCGAAAAAAAAAAAAACCGCUGGUUAGUGCUACCAAACUAUUCAAAUUACAAUUAUUUAUUUGACAUUAAUAUUUUCAAAUACAUAAGCCUAAACCACAAAACUAGUUGAGGGUUUUUGCCUACCUCUAAGUAUCCUCCAACUGCAAUCUUUGGUUAUUUAUUUAUUCAUUUUGCUAUACUUUAAUAUUCUUUCUGUUCAGUGUUCCAACUUAUUUGUUAAAUGUUUCAUCAAGUUAAUUGUUAGAUAAGUGUUGUUUAAAUAAAAUGCUUUUUGAAUUUAAAAAAUUGUGGGAUGUAUUGAACCGUGGGUCAAUAAUCGUGAUGCAAACCGAAUCGUGAGUUGGUGUAUCGUUACAGCCCUAAUGUUGAGGGUAAUGGAGGUGUGGGUAUAAAGGGCCAGGUGGUAGCAUCCUAAAGUGAUAACGUUCUGUACUCUUGCCAGUAAUCCCAUUAUAAAUUUGCUGUGACGCUUGCCCAGUAGUGUACACGGUGAUACGCGUGGGAUAAAAUAUACCCGUCUUUGAGUGAGGGCUGCAGCUGCACUCUGAGCUGUUCAGUCACCACUUGUGAUGGGA